AGCCUCCUCUGCGACAGCAUGAUCCAGCAGAUGUCACUAUAGCCAAGGGAGAGGCACAGAGGCGUAAUUGACCCUUUGACCUUGUCUGUUUGGCGUUGCAAAGACCAAGUCAGAAGUCAGCUCGGGCCAAUAGGAGAAACAAGUACAGCACAAUGGAUUGUUGGUGUCACACAUCUGCAUCUGUGUAAAUCCGUUUUGUGUUUAAACCACCUAAGAUUAAGAAGGAUUGGAGGAUGUCCUUAUUGGUGGCACAUUCCUGUCACACUCUGCCCUUGAUCAACUGCACCAGCCAGACAAUAGCACUGAUCAUUUUCCCCCGGCAAGGAAACUCAGCAUGGAUCAGCUCAAUAACCUGAUAUUCUCAGUCUACUCAAUGUAGACAAUUUAGCACCAGGUCAGCACCUUUCUCUCUGCUUUUUAAAUCUCAGACAAUUUGGUGACCUCCCACCUGAGCACUGACAGGUCCAAAGGAGACAAAACACAAUUGUAGCUCAAGCAAGCAAGCUGCUUGUGACGUGACAGUGUGUUUAUGUCUAUAUCCCUCAAGGUGAUACCUGGUGUGGGACAAGGAGGGAUUGGGGGGUGCUAUUAUGCAAACUCGAUAUCCAGCGUGCUUUCAGAUUACAUUUUUCAUGUCUUUCCCGUCUUCGGUUACCGCCAUACAUGCAUGUCUGGAUGUGGAUGUUUAAAUUGCUGUGGUUACAAAUCAUUUUCCAUCAAUCAGUUACAUGGCCAGGUGCCUUUCAGCUUCAGAUUAAACACUCCUUGUAGCUGGGGGGAAUUAUGUCCAGGACUACCCUUUUUUUUUUCCAGGGAUGGGAUUUAAAUCAGAUCACUCUUUAUUGUGGAAUUUCUGCCCCGCUGUUUUGAAUUUACUGUUAUCUGCAUCCAGCUGUGAAAAUGGAAUCAACAACAAUGUGACCCCCUCCCUCACAUCGCCCACAUGAUGAUGUCCAUUCAGUCUAAUUUUACUGACCAGACAAUUGCAUAAGAUGAUAUAGAGAAGC